GUGGGGAAUAUUGGACAAUGGGCGAAAGCCUGAUCCAGCCAUGCCGCGUGUGUGAAGAAGGUCUUCGGAUUGUAAAGCACUUUAAGUUGGGAGGAAGGGCAGUAAGUUAAUACCUUGCUGUUUUGACGUUACCGACAGAAUAAGCACCGGCUAACUUCGUGCCAGCAGCCGCGGUAAUACGAAGGGUGCAAGCGUUAAUCGGAAUUACUGGGCGUAAAGCGCGCGUAGGGGGUUUUGUAAGUUGGAGGUGAAAUCCCCGGGCUCAACCUGGGAACUGCCUCCAAAACUGCAUGACUAGAGUACGGUAGAGGGUAGUGGAAUUUCCUGUGUAGCGGUGAAAUGCGUAGAUAUAGGAAGGAACACCAGUGGCGAAGGCGACUACCUGGACUGAUACUGACACUGAGGUGCGAAAGCGUGGGGAGCAAACAGGAUUAGAAACCCGGGUAGUCC
rnacentral:rRNA from 1 species